AGUCUUGUAGAGAUGGUCACCCUU
rnacentral:siRNA from 1 species